AACGAACGCUGGCGGCAGGCCUAACACAUGCAAGUCGAACGCUCCGCAAGGAGAGUGGCAGACGGGUGAGUAACACGUGGGAAUCUUCCUGUUGGUUCGGAAUAGCUCAGGGAAACUUGGGGUAAUACCGGAUAAGCCCGAGAGGGGAAAGAUUUAUCGCCGACAGAUGAGCCCGCGUCUGACUAGCUAGUUGGUGAGGUAAUGGCUCACCAAGGCGACGAUCAGUAGCNGGUCUGAGAGGAUGACCAGCCACACUGGGACUGAGACACGGCCCAGACUCCUACGGGAGGCAGCAGUGGGGAAUAUUGGACAAUGGGCGCAAGCCUGAUCCAGCCAUGCCGCGUGAGUGACGAAGGUCUUC
rnacentral:rRNA from 1 species